rnacentral:rRNA from 1 species
CCUACGGGAGGCAGCAGUGAGGAAUAUUGGUCAAUGGACGAGAGUCUGAACCAGCCAAGUCGCGUGAAGGAUGACUGCCCUAUGGGUUGUAAACUUCUUUUAUAUGGGAAUAAAAUGGUCCACGUGUGGGAUUUUGUAUGUAACAUAUGAAUAAGGAUCGGCUAACACCGUGCCAGCAGCCGCGGUAAUACGGAGGAUCCGAGCGUUAUCCGGAUUUAUUGGGUUUAAAGGGAUCGUAGGUGGCUUGAUAAGUCAGUUGUGAAAGUUUGCGGCUCAACCGUAAAAUUGCAGUUGAAACUGGCAGUCUUGAGUACAGUAGAGGUAGGCGGAAUGCGUGGUGUAGCGGUGAAAUGCUUAGAUAUCACGAAGAACUCCGAUUGCGAAGGCAGUUCACUGGACUGCAACUGACACUGAGGCUCGAAAGUGUGGGUAUCAAACAGGAUUAGAUACCCCAGUAGUC